rnacentral:rRNA from 1 species
CAGCACCUCAAGUGGUCAGGAUGAUUAUUGGGCCUAAAGCAUCCGUAGCCGGCUCUGUAAGUUUUCGGUUAAAUCUGUAUGCUCAACAUACAGGCUGCCGGGAAUACUGCAGAGCUAGGGAGUGGGAGAGGUAGACGGUACUCGGUAGGAAGGGGUAAAAUCCUUGGAUCUAUCGAUGACCACCUGUGGCGAAGGCGGUCUACCAGAACACGUCCGACGGUGAGGGAUGAAAGCUGGGGGAGCAAACCGGAUUAGAUACCCGAGUAGUCC